rnacentral:rRNA from 1 species
GUCAAGUCAGCAUGGCCUUUAUGUCUGGGGCUACACACGUGCUACAAUGGCCGGUACAAACCGUCGCGAUCUCGCAAGAGGGAGCUAAUCGGAGAAAGCCGGUCUCAGUUCGGAUUGUCGGCUGCAACUCGCCGGCAUGAAGUUGGAAUCGCUAGUAACCGCAGGACAGCUAUACUGCGGUGAAUACGCUCCCGGGCCUU